AUCAUUCGUUCCUGGGCAAAGGGACGAAGGAAAGCAGAAGAGCAACGAAAAGAGGACGCCGCUGGAUCUUGGGUUUAUCUGUACACAGCUGUCUCACCCCCUUCUGCUCCCCUCAUUCAUUUUGCUCUCAUUUUCUCCCCUGUUAUAUUGUUUGUUCAAUAAACGGGAACCAGCGGCUCAAGGUUUCUUCUGAAGCUUCGUCAUUUCUAUUUUCCAAGGCUUUACUGAACUUGUGUAAAGCUUGCAAUUUUUUCCUAUCUUUGUUCUUUUAUCUUCUCUUUUGCUUUUUUGUUUUUUGCUUCCCUGGUUUUUUGUAUUUAAAAACACAUCUUCCGUGAUCUCUGAGUGCUCUCUCUAUCCGUCUGCACAGACAGGGUUGUGUUGUACCCCCCUUAACAACCUGAGGAGUGGUCUGCUGCACACAUCUCUCCUUUUAUCUCCCCCUCCAGCCUCUCUGCUUUCUUUUCAUCUCUUCCUUUCAAUCUUAUUUUAUUUUAUUCUAUUCCAUACGCUCUUGUUGGCUUCUCCUAACCCCC
rnacentral:sRNA from 2 species